rnacentral:rRNA from 1 species
UACAGAGGUCUCAAGCGUUGUUCGGAUUCAUUGGGCGUAAAGGGUGCGUAGGCGGCGCGGUAAGUCGGAUGUGAAAUCUCGGGGCUUAACUCCGAAACUGCAUUCGAUACUGCCGUGCUUGAGGACUGGAGAGGAGACUGGAAUUUACGGUGUAGCGGUGAAAUGCGUAGAUAUCGUAAGGAAGACCAGUGGCGAAGGCGGGUCUCUGGACAGUUCCUGACGCUGAGGCACGAAGGCCAGGGGAGCGAACGGG